rnacentral:rRNA from 1 species
AUUGAACGCUGGCGGCAUGCCUUACACAUGCAAGUCAAACGGCAGCACGGGUGCUUGCACCUGGUGGCGAGUGGCGAACGGGUGAGUAAUACAUCGGAACGUACCUUAUCGUGGGGGAUAACGCAGCGAAAGCUGUGCUAAUACCGCAUACGCCCUGAGGGGGAAAGCGGGGGAUCGAAAGACCUCGCGCGAUUAGAGCGGCCGAUGCCUGAUUAGCUUGUUGGUGGGGUAAAAGCCCACCAAGGCGACGAUCAGUAGCUGGUCUGAGAGGACGAUCAGCCACACUGGGACUAAGACACGGCCCAGACUCCUACGGGAGGCAGCAGUGGGGAAUUUUGGACAAUGGGGGCAACCCUGAUCCAGCAAUGCCGCGUGAGUGAAGAAGGCCUUCGGGUUGUAAAGCUCUUUUGUCAGGGAAGAAACACCGGCUCUAACACAGUCCGGGAAUGACGGUACCUGAGGAAUAAGCACCGGCUAACUACGUGCCAGCCGCCGCAGUAA